UCCUACAUCUGAAAGUGAUCUUGGCUACCUACAUCCAUCCUGGUCAUUAGCAGUCCAGGGAAAGGAUGCUGAAAGAUGUGUUCUCUGGGUUUUGGGGGGGUUCUGUCCUGACCCUUUCAAAGCCUCGAGCUUUCCUACA